UGGCUAACUCCUACGGGAGGCAGCAGUAGGGAAUCUUCCGCAAUGGACGAAAGUCUGACGGAGCAACGCCGCGUGAGUGAAGAAGGUUUUCGGAUCGUAAAACUCUGUUGUCAGAGAAGAACAAGUCGGAGAGUAACUGCUCCGGCCUUGACGGUAUCUGACCAGAAAGCCACGGCUAACUACGUGCCAGCAGCCGCGGUAAUACGUAGGUGGCAAGCGUUGUCCGGAUUUAUUGGGCGUAAAGCGAGCGCAGGCGGUUCCUUAAGUCUGAUGUGAAAGCCCGCGGCUCAACCGUGGAAGGUCAUUGGAAACUGGGGAACUUGAGUGCAGAAGAGGAGAGUGGAAUUCCAUGUGUAGCGGUGAAAUGCGUAGAUAUAUGGAGGAACACCAGUGGCGAAGGCGACUCUCUGGUCUGUAACUGACGCUGAGGCUCGAAAGCGUGGGGAGCAAACAGGAUUAGAAACCCGAGUAGUCCAGCUGG
rnacentral:rRNA from 1 species